GAUGAACGCUGGGCGGCGUGCCUCAAACAUGCAAGUCGAGCGGGGCUAUGUAAUAUCGCAAGGUAGAACAUAGCCUAGCGGCGAACGGGUGAGUAACACGUGGGUAACCUGCCUGGAAGACAGGGAUAACGAUUCGAAAGGGUCGCUAAUACCUGAUAAUAUCCUUUCAUCGCAUGGUGAUAGGAAGAAAGGGGAAACCCGCUUUCAGAUGGGCCCGCGUCCCAUCAGCUAGUUGGUAAGGUAAAGGCUUACCAAGGCGACGACGGGUAGCCGGUCUGAGAGGAUGUACGGCCACACUGGGACUGAGAUACGGCCCAGACUCCUACGGGAGGCAGCAGUUGGGAAUCUUAGGCAAUGGACGAAAGUCUGACCUAGCGACGCCGCGUGAGGGAAGAAGGCCUUCGGGUUGUAAACCUCUGUCAUGGGGGAAGAAGUAAGUGACGGUACCCCAAGAGGAAGCCCCUGCUAACUACGUG
rnacentral:rRNA from 1 species